rnacentral:rRNA from 1 species
GACGAACGCUGGCGGCGUGCUUAACACAUGCAAGUCGAACGGAAAGGCCCUGCUUUUGUGGGGUGCUCGAGUGGCGAACGGGUGAGUAACACGUGAGUAACCUGCCCUUGACUUUGGGAUAACUUCAGGAAACUGGGGCUAAUACCGGAUAGGAGCUCCUGCCGCAUGGUGGGGGUUGGAAAGUUUCGGCGGUUGGGGAUGGACUCGCGGCUUAUCAGCUUGUUGGUGGGGUAGUGGCUUACCAAGGCUUUGACGGGUAGCCGGCCUGAGAGGGUGACCGGCCACAUUGGGACUGAGAUACGGCCCAGACUCCUACGGGAGGCAGCGGUGGGGAAUAUUGCACAAUGGGCGGAAGCCUGAUGCAGCAACGCCGCGUGCGGGAUGACGGCCUUCGGGUUGUAAACCGCUUUCGCCUGUGACGAAGCGUGAGUGACGGUAAUGGGUAAAGAAGCACCGGCUAACUACGU